GACGAACGCUGGCGGCGUGCCUAAUACAUGCAAGUAGAACGCUGAAGAGAGGAGCUUGCUCUUCUUGGGUGAGUUGCGAACGGGUGAGUAACGCGUAGGUAACCUGCCUUGUAGCGGGGGAUAACUAUUGGAAACGAUAGCUAAUACCGCAUAACAAUGGAUGACACAUGUCAUUUAUUUGAAAGGGGCAAUUGCUCCACUACAAGAUGGACCUGCGUUGUAUUAGCUAGUAGGUGAGGUAAUGGCUCACCUAGGCGACGAUACAUAGCCGACCUGAGAGGGUGAUCGGCCACACUGGGACUGAGACACGGCCCAGACUCCUACGGGAGGCAGCAGUAGGGAAUCUUCGGCAAUGGGGGCAACCCUGACCGAGCAACGCCGCGUGAGUGAAGAAGGGUUUCGGAUCGUAAAGCUCUGUUGUAAGUCAAGAACGGGUGUGAGAGUGGAAAGUUCACACUGUGACGGUAGCUUACCAGAAAGGGACGGCUAACUACGUG
rnacentral:rRNA from 1 species